UCCAGUGCCAUGUUUUCAAAACGAUAGUUUGGCCUACCCCUGAUUGCCUUCAGGAUCGCCGCCUUGUCUGUUCCGUGCCUGAAUUGAAUUAUCAGGUCGCUUGAUGUCGACGGUGGGGCUCUGGCCGGUUUGGGGAUUCUAAAAAGCCCGUCCAGGGGUGUUGCUUUCGCCUGUUUUUGUGGUAGGAGAUCCCCCAUCAUUCUCCUCACCAGGUGUGGCAGCUCCGCUUCAGGGACAGCAUCAGGUACCCCCCGGAGCUUCAAAUUAUUCCUCCGCCGUAGGUCUUCUAGAUUUGCAAAGCGGCAUUCGUGGGUCUGGUUCUGCCGCUGGAGGUCUUGCACCGCUUUCUCCAGCACCUGUAUACGCUGAGAGUCC